rnacentral:rRNA from 1 species
UGGGGAAUCUUGCGCAAUGCGCGAAAGCGUGACGCAGCAACGCCGCGUGGGGGAAGAAGGCCUUCGGGUUGUAAACCCCUUUCAGGAGGGACGAAGGUUCGGCGGUGAAUAGCCGUCCGGACUGACGGUACCUCCACAAGAAGCCCCGGCUAACUACGUGCCAGCAGCCGCGGUAAUACGUAGGGGGCUAGCGUUGUCCGGAAUCAUUGGGCGUAAAGCGCGCGUAGGCGGCCCGGUAAGUCCGCUCUGAAAGUCCAGGGCUCAACCCUGGAAAGCGGGUGGAUACUGCCGGGCUAGAAUCCGGAAGAGGCGAGUGGAAUUCCUGGUGUAGCGGUGGAAUGCGCAGAUAUCAGGAGGAACACCAAUAGCGAAGGCAGCUCGCUGGGACGGUAUUGACGCUAAGGCGCGAAAGCGUGGGGAGCAAACAGG